rnacentral:rRNA from 1 species
CGUGUAGGCGGUCAAGUAGGUGAGAUGUGAAAUGCUCCGGCUUACCCGGAGACCGGCAUCUCAAACCGCUUGGCUUGAGUACGGGAGAGGGUGUGGGAAUUCCUGGUGUAGCGGUGAAAUGCGUAGAUAUCAGGAGGAACACCGGUGGCGAAGGCGCACACCUGGCCCGAUACUGACGCUGAGGCGCGAAAGCUAGGGAGCAAACG